rnacentral:rRNA from 1 species
CGAACGGGUGAGUAACGCGUGAGGAACCUGCCUUCAGAGGGGACAACAUGGAAACGACUGCUAAUACCGCAUAACAUGUUUUCUUCGCAUGGAGGAAACAUCAAAGAUUUUAUCGCUGAAAGAUGGCCUCGCGUCUGAUUAGAUAGUUGGUGGGGUAACGGCCCACCAAGUCGACGAUCAGUAGCCGGACUGAGAGGUUGAACGGCCACAUUGGGACUGAGAUACGGGCCCAGACUCCUACGGGAGGCAGCAGUGGGGAAUAUUGGGCAAUUGGGCGCAAGCCUGACCCAGCAACGCCGCGUGAAGGAAGAAGGCUUUCGGGUUGUAAACUUCUUUUACCAGGGACGAAGGAUGUGACGGUACCUGGAGAAAAAGCCACGGCUAACUACGUGCCAGCCGCCGC